rnacentral:rRNA from 1 species
GACGAACGCUGGCGGCGUGCUUAACACAUGCAAGUCGAACGGAAAGGCCCUGCUUUUGUGGGGUGCUCGAGUGGCGAACGGGUGAGUAACACGUGAGUAACCUGCCCUUGACUUUGGGAUAACUUCAGGAAACUGGGGCUAAUACCGGAUAGGAGCUCCUGCUGCAUGGUGGGGGUUGGAAAGUUUCGGCGGUUGGGGAUGGACUCGCGGCUUAUCAGCUUGUUGGUGGGGUAGUGGCUUACCAAGGCUUUGACGGGUAGCCGGCCUGAGAGGGUGACCGGCCACAUUGGGAUUGAGAUACGGCCCAGACCCAUACGGGAGGCAGCAGUGGAGAGUAUUGCACAAUGGGAGGAAGCCUGAUGCAGCAAAGCCGCGUGCGGGAUGACGGCCUGCGGGUUGUAAACCGCUUUCGCCUGUGACGAAGCGUGAGUGACGGUAAUGGGUAAAGAAGCACCGGCUAACUACGUG